AUUGAACGCUGGCGGUAUGCUUAAUACAUGCAAGUCGAACGGUAACAGGCCCUUCGGGUGCUGACGAGUGGCGGACGGGUGAGUAAUGCGUAGGGAUCUGCCUUGUUGUGUGGGAUAGCCUAGGGAAACUUAGGGUAAUACCGCAUAAUCCUGAGAAGGAAAAGCCGGGGACUGUAAAAGGCCUGGCGCAAUAAGAUGAGCCUACGUCGGAUUAGCUAGUUGGUGGGUAAAGGCCUACCAAGGCGACGAUCCAUAGCUGGUCUGAGAGGAUGAUCAGCCACACUGGGACUGAGACACGGCCCAGACUCCUACGGGAGGCAGCAGUGGGGAAUAUUGGACAGUGGGCGAAAGCCUGAUCCAGCAAUGCCGCGUGAGUGAUGAAGGCCUUAGGGUUGUAAAGCUCUUUUACCCGAGAUGAUAAUGACAGUAUCGGGAGAAUAAGCUCCGGCUAACUCCGUGCCAGCAGCCGCAU
rnacentral:rRNA from 1 species